AACGAACGCUGGCGGCAGGCUUAACACAUGCAAGUCGAGCGCCCCGCAAGGGGAGCGGCAGACGGGUGAGUAACGCGUGGGAAUCUACCCAUCUCUACGGAAUAACGCAUGGAAACGUGUGCUAAUACCGUAUACGUCCUUCGGGAGAAAGAUUUAUCGGAGAUGGAUGAGCCCGCGUUAGAUUAGCUAGUUGGUGGGGUAAAGGCCUACCAAGGCGACGAUCCAUAGCUGGUCUGAGAGGAUGAUCAGCCACACUGGGACUGAGACACGGGCCAGACUCCUACGGGAGGCAGCAGUGGGGAAUAUUGGACAAUGGGCGCAAGCCUGAUCCAGCCAUGCCGCGUGAGUGAUGAAGGCCCUAGGGUUGUAAAGCUCUUUCACCGGUGAAGAUAAUGACGGUAACCGGAGAAGAAGCCCCGGCUAACUUCGUGCCAGCCGCCGCGGUAAAAC
rnacentral:rRNA from 1 species